rnacentral:rRNA from 1 species
AGUGAACGCUGGCGGUAGGCCUAACACAUGCAAGUCGAACGGCAGCACAGUAAGAGCUUGCUCUUACGGGUGGCGAGUGGCGGACGGGUGAGGAAUACAUCGGAAUCUACUUUUUCGUGGGGGAUAACGUAGGGAAACUUACGCUAAUACCGCAUACGACCUACGGGUGAAAGCAGGUGAUCUUCGGACCUUGCGCGAUUGAAUGAGCCGAUGUCGGAUUAGCUAGUUGGCGGGGUAAAGGCCCACCAAGGCGACGAUCCGUAGCUGGUCUGAGAGGAUGAUCAGCCACACUGGAACUGAGACACGGUCAAGACUCCUACGGGAGGCAGCAGUGGGGAAUAUUGGACAAUGGGCGCAAGCCUGAUCCAGCCAUACCGCGUGGGUGAAGAAGGCCUUCGGGUUGUAAAGCCCUUUUGUUGGGAAAGAAGAGCAGCAGGUUAAUACCCCGCUGUUCUGACGGUACCCAAAGAAUAAGCACCGGCUAACUUCGUG